ACAUAGCGGAAACAUAUGUUUCAGAUAAUGAUAUCAACUCAUCAGUACAAAAUUUGUGCGAACGUUUGAAGAUUACUAAAGAAGAACAGUUUAAAAUAAACGAAUAAACAAUUGGCCAAUUUAACAAUCCAAAUUAUUUAACGGAAAGAAUGCACCGGCUUACUGCUUCCAAUUUUGGAGAUGUUAUAAAAUUAAAAGAAUCGACAUCUUGUGAUAGUAUAGUUAAAAAAAUUUUAAGAAAAAAUAAUUUUUCUACUGAAGCUACAAAGUACGGGAAAAUAAAUGAAACGGUAGCAAUAAAAAAAUUUGAAGAAGAAUACAAUAAAAUUGUAAAGCCUGCCGGUUUAUUUGUUGACGUUCUUCAUGGAUAUUUAGGAGCUUCACCUGAUGGAAUUAUAUCUGAAGACGAAAUUGUGGAGGUCAAGUGUUCUUAUAAGGCCUUCACAUCUGGAUAUUCGUUAGAAGAGGGGAUUAUAAGAAAACAAAUACCAUAUUUGUCAAUGAAAGACAAUAAAAUGGCACUUAGGAAAAAUCACGAAUAUUACUAUCAAAUACAAGGCCAACUAAAUAUUAUAGGAGCUAAACGAUGCUAUUUUAUUGUAUAUUCAGGGCCAAAAAAUAAAAUUCACGUCGAAGUAAUUCCUAAAGAUGAAGACUUUUGGAUUAACAAAAUGCUUCCAAAAUUGGAAAGAUUCUUUUUGAAUUGUCUGGGGCCAGAGAUAAUUUUAAAUAGAAGAGGGCGAAAUUUAAAAUGUUUAGAUCCAUCCUACAUCAGAGAAGCGCAAGAAAAGAAAAAAAAAUGACAUUUUAAUAAAACAUUAAUUUUUG